AUGGUAAUGGUAAGCUUGCAGUCAGUAUGUCACAAUGCCUGUCGUAUGAGCUUCAACCCACUUGUAUUCUUCUGUAAAUUUUCUUAUCCUGGUCAGGGUCCCCUGUGACUAAUUGAUCUAGCUAAACGUACUCCUUCACUGACUCUAGAGGCUGAAUGGCGAGGUAAAUCUUACAUUAGAAGAUUGGUAGAAGAAAAGUAGGAAACGGGCAAAGGAAGAAGUCGUAUAAAAACAAUUUUCCCAAAAGGGGGUUCAAAAAGUUUGAUUAUGGGAAUACUUCGCGUUUUUUAUUAUUUUCUUUUUCUUUCUUUUUUACUAUAGGCAGUGCAUUAGGCAAUAUAUUUAAAAAGCUUGGUGGUGCAAGCCGCCGCCCCGUUCCAACGGAUACACUCGUAGCAUCCAUCCAUCCUUCGGCGGUAAAAUUACAGCUAUGCCACAAUUUUGUGAAUCAGAGCUUCGCUACACCACAUGAAAGCCUGAGGCACUUCGAAAGCCUGAGCAGCACGGCAAUAUAUUUGAUCUGCAUGCUGCGACAAGGUGAGGAAGGUAUUGACUCCCUUAAUGCUACUGAGAAAGGGACCUCAGAACAAGAAACCACGAAAUGUUACCUAAAUGUGUCGAAGUCCGUAAUUCAACGUUCCGCCUCAUAAAGCAAGCAUUACCAGUAUGAAAACGUUUCUAAUUGCAUUGUUUUAUCAGCUAGCUUCGAAAUACGUAGAUGCAUUAUGAGAAAGUAUGUUUUCUUUUCUUUUAUUUGACUUGUUACGUUGAACGUUAUUUUUCUUCAGAAUUUUUUCCUUUCACUUGACGCAAAACUCCUACGGCAGCCUAUGAGGUAUGUGUGUAAAAAGGUUAGUAAAUUACUAAGGCAUGAAACAAACCAUGAAGUGUAAUAUUUGAGUGCGCCCACUUGGUAAUGCUUCCUGAGGGUAGUGCAGCAGCAAGCUUCUGGCUGAUCUCCUUAGAUGUCGAAAAAGUGCAGGCUGUGAUAAUGUGGUGCCUCAAACUGCUGGUUAUGCAUGUCAGUCACUCUGCUGCAAUGCUCACAAGUGAGUAAAAUCGAAAGCUGGGCAUGCUCAGCUUCUCCGCAUAUGACACCGGAUAAAGUUACAACUCUCCUAUUGCUUCUCUUA